CCUACGGGGGGCACCAGUGGGGAAUAUUGGACAAUGGGCGAAAGCCUGAUCCAGCAAUGCCGCGUGUGUGAAGAAGGUCUUCAGAUUGUAAAGCACUUUCGACGGGGACGAUGAUGACGGUAACCGGAGAAGAAGCCCCGGCUAACUUCGUGCCAGCAGCCGCGGUAAUACGAAGGGGGCUGGCGUUGUUCGGAAUUACUGGGCGUAAAGGGCGCGUAGGCGGUUUAUGCAGUCAGAUGUGAAAUCCCCGGGCUUAACCUGGGAACUGCAUUUGAGACGCAUAGACUAGAGGUCGAGAGAGGGUUGUGGAAUUCCCAGUGUAGAGGUGAAAUUCGUAGAUAUUGGGAAGAACACCGGUGGCGAAGGCGGCAACCUGGCUCGAUACUGACGCUGAGACGCGAAAGCGUGGGGAGCAAACAGGAUUAGAUACCCGUGUAGUC
rnacentral:rRNA from 1 species